rnacentral:rRNA from 1 species
GAAUCUUCCACAAUGGACGAAAGUCUGAUGGAGCAAUGCCGCGUGAGCGAAGAAGGUUUUCGGAUCGUAAAGCUCUGUCGUACGGGAGGAACACGUACGGGAGUAACUGCCCGUGCCAUGACGGUCACUUAUUAGAAAGCCACGGCUACCUACGUCCCAGCCCCCGCGGUAAUCCGUAGGUGGCAAGCGUUGUCCGGAAUUAUUGGGCGUAAAGCGCGAGCAGGCGGUUCUUUAAGUCUGAUGUGAAAGCCCACGGCUCAACCGUGGAGGGUCAUUGGAAGCGGGAGAGCUUGAGUACAGAAGAGGAAAGCGGAAUUCCACGUGUAGCGGUGAAAUGCGUAGAGAUGUGGAGGAACACCAGUGGCGAAGGCGGCUUUCUGGUCUGUAACUGACGCUGAGGCGCGAAAGCGUGGGGAGCAAAC